CAGCCGCCGCGGGAAUACGUAGGUGGCAAGCGUUGUCCGGAAUUAUUGGGCGUAAAGGGCUCGCAGGCGGACUGAUAAGUCAGGGGUGAAAUCCCAAGGCUCAACCUUGGAACUGCCUUUGAUACUGUUUGUCUUGAGUUCGAGAGAGGUAAGUGGAACUGCGAGUGUAGAGGUGAAAUUCGUAGAUAUUCGCAAGAACACCAGUGGCGAAGGCGGCUUACUGGCUCGAAACUGACGCUGAGGCGCGAAAGCGUGGGGAGCAAACAGGAUUAGAUACCCCGGUAGUCCCUGUCUCUUAUAC
rnacentral:rRNA from 1 species